rnacentral:rRNA from 1 species
CGCCUGUUUUAUCAAAAACAUUUCUUUAAGAAAAUUAAAGUAGGCUCUGCUCAGUGAAUUUUAAAUAGCCGCGGUAUUUUGACCGUGCAAAGGUAGCGUAAUAAUUUGUCUUAUAAUAGAAGACUGGUAUAAAGGAGUUGACAAUACUUGAGCUUUUUUUAUUGUUAAAUUUGAAUUUGAUCUCCACAUCAAAAAGUGUGGCUAUUUAGGAAGACGAUAAGACCCUAGAAAGCUUUGCUAAUCCACUUAUUAAGGAUUUAGAAGAAAAGAUAGGUUUGAUUAAGUUUAACUGGGGCGGUAUCUAAAAUUCUUUAGAAAAAAUAACAUUAUUUAUGAAUUUCAAGAUCUUAAAUUUAAGAUUUAGAAUAAGCUACUUUAGGGAUAACAGCGCAAUUUUUUCAUAUAGAUCUUAUAGAAGAAAAAGACUUGCGACCUCGAUGUUGAAUUGAGGGGCUUGAUUUGAGCAGAAACAAAUUCAAGGGGUCUGUUCGACCUUUAAUUCCUC